CAGCAGUUUUGUACAUAUUAUUGCAUGAAACCAAAUACCGACCAUGCAGUUUGACAAGUCGUAUUAUAACUAGCUAGUAUAUGCAUGCGCCAAUUAUCACUUAUUUAAUGAGACCGAGGGAAACAGUGUGUUUUUUGGACUCGAGAUCGCCGUUGUUUCCCGGGGCGAAGCCGAGGACAACAACGGUGGUCGGGGGCACAAAACACACUGCUAUCCCGAGAUCUCAGUAAAUAAGUCUUUGUUAUGUAGUAUAGUAUGAACAAUUCGCCCGUUAUUGGAGUGAACUUUGAAACCAAAACUAGAUCAAUGGAACGCCGUAUAUGUUUAAUAAAAAAGUUUAAUAAAAUGGGACUUCACGGUUGACCCGCAUGCGCACGCACCCAUUCUAUUAUUGGCCGGUCAAUAAUUGUUUCUUUGCGGACCGGUUGCCUCCUCGCCAAACCAUGCCGUGAACAUGACGUUUUGUGUACCCGCACGUGAUACGAUUUUGACCAAUCGGCAAACAGAAAAAUUGAACUUUGACACUAACUAAUAUAACAAGAAGAUU